rnacentral:lncRNA from 1 species
AAGUGCCUAUUUCAAAAUAAAAAUUAUUUGGGAAUGGAACUGUUGUUAAAUGAGGGUGAAGAAUAUUGUGACAAUUUCACAAACACUUGGUGGGCAAUUUCACAACCCACUCUCUACAAGCAUCCAAUUGAGAAUCAAUCACAAGAGCAAUAACAAAAUAAACCAAAUCAUAAGAACACAAGGAUUUAUGUGGUUCGGCUAUGACUACAUCCACGGGAGAACAAUACAAAGAAGCUUCCACUAUAAAUUUGGAGAUUAUAAGAGAGAUUCAAAUGAGAAAAAUAUCACCUUAACUCCAAGAUAUAAAAAAGAGCUCCAACAAUCUCUAGCUCUAUCCAAAUGGUGUAAACCACACCUGACAAGGAAGAUCUCACAUCCUUCUUGAUAGAAGCAAGAUCAAAACCAAGCCUAGGGUUUUCUCUCUUUUCGCCCACUUCUUUUCUCAUUCUCUACUUCACUCUAUCUUUUCUCUCAUAUUCUAAUUUCGCAUUUUAGCUCCUUAAGAGAAGAGGCUAACACUAUGAGCCUUUGGAUCAAAAGAAUCAUGAUCCAAAGGCUUACAAAUAAGGGACCCACAUACAUAAUAAAAAAUAUAGAAAUAAGAGAUUUUGAUUUCACCAAAUUACAUAGUCUAAAUAGUAAAACCCAAAUAGCAAAUAGGCCUAAUGUAAUUAGCUCAACAGGAACUCUAAAUUGUCGGAUAAACUUUUAGUAGAGAGCUCUCCAACGACGCCUUGUUGGGGAACCGCCGAUUUACUGACGUUUAUUAGUUUUGUUUCUAUUCAAUGAUUGCUUGAGCAUUUUUAAUAU